CAUCAGCGCAAAUUCAGAUAUGUCCCCACCACCACCACCGCUAAAAUAGAGAUCAACCAAAGUUGUAAGCACAACUAGAAAGACCCAAAAACAUGUAUAAAAGCAAAUGGUUGACGCGAGGCAGCGGCAAUGGUGGUGGAAGUCAUAUCAGAACCCCACCAAUAUCCUUUUAAACUACUCCGUUGACAUAGAAACGACAAAAGUGUUCCUAAAA